rnacentral:rRNA from 1 species
AUUGAACGCUGGCGGCAGGCCUAACGCAUGCAAGUCGAGCGGAUGAAGGGAGCUUGCUCCUGGAUUCAGCGGCGGACGGGUGAGUAAUGCCUAGGAAUCUGCCUGGUAGUGGGGGAUAACGUCCGGAAACGGGCGCUAAUACCGCAUACGUCCCGAGGGAGAAAGUGGGGGAUCUUCGGACCUCACGCUAUCAGAUGAGCCUAGGUCGGAUUAGCUAGUUGGUGGGGUAAAGGCCUACCAAGGCGACGAUCCGUAACUGGUCUGAGAGGAUGAUCAGUCACACUGGAACUGAGACACGGUCCAGACUCCUACGGGAGGCAGCAGUGGGGAAUAUUGGACAAUGGGCGAAAGCCUGAUCCAGCCAUGCCGCGUGUGUGAAGAAGGUCUUCGGAUUGUAAAGCACUUUAAGUUGGGAGGAAGGGCAGUAAGUUAAUACCUUGCUGUUUUGACGUUACCAACAGAAUAAGCACCGGCUAACUUCGUG